rnacentral:rRNA from 1 species
AGGACGAACGCUGGCGGCGUGCUUAACACAUGCAAGUCGAACGGUGAAGGAGAGCUUGCUCUCCGGAUCAGUGGCGAACGGGUGAGUAACACGUGAGUAACCUGCCCUUGACUCUGGGAUAAGCGUUGGAAACGACGUCUAAUACCGGAUACGAGCUUCAGCCGCAUGGCUAGGAGCUGGAAAAGAUUUCGGUCAAGGAUGGACUCGCGGCCUAUCAGCUAGUUGGUGAGGUAAUGGCUCACCAAGGCGACGACGGGUAGCCGGCCUGAGAGGGUGACCGGCCACGACUGGGACUGAGACACAGCCCAGACUCCUACGGAGCAGCAGUGGGGAAUAUUGCACAAUGGGCGCAAAGCCUGAUGCAGCAACGCCGCGUGGGGACGAAGGCCUUCGGGUUGUAAACCUCGUUUAGUAGGAAGUAAGCGAAAGUGACGGUACCUGACAGAAAAGCACCGGCUAACGUACGUGACCAGCAGCGCGGUAAUCGUGAGCGG